UCUUAACUGAACCCCAAGUCUGCCAGUGCUUUGAUCUUUGACUUCUCAGACUCCGGAACUGUGAACAACACAUUUCUGUCAUUUAUAAAUUAUUUAGCCUGAAUUAUUCAGUUGCAGUAGCAGAAAUGGACUAAGAUAGAUACCUAACUAGUCUGAGUGUUUCAGAAAUGCCUUUUGUGCCUAGCUGAUAAGUCUGAAAGGACACAGGCUGAGCGGAUGCCAUGGCCAAGCCGUAUCUGGAGAGAGCAGACGCCUGUGUUCUUGCUUGGAAGAGCCAUUGACAAAGGAAUGCACCGCACACAUCGGGCUACAAUCUCGGUGAGAGACACUCACCACUGUCUCCACAAACCCCAGCUCCGCGCUUGGCACUAGAUUUACCAAGUGACUCAGCAGUCAGCAGUUCUGGUCUUGACUGGGUCUUCUUGGGAAAUGAUCCUGCAAGUCCACAAACCUUCACCAGACUACGGGACAAAGUCAGGAGUCCCUUUGUUCUUCAC